AGUGAACGCUGGCGGUAGGCCUAACACAUGCAAGUCGAACGGCAGCACAGUAAGAGCUUGCUCUUACGGGUGGCGAGUGGCGGACGGGUGAGGAAUACAUCGGAAUCUACUUUUUCGUGGGGGAUAACGUAGGGAAACUUACGCUAAUACCGCAUACGACCUACGGGUGAAAGCAGGGGAUCUUCGGACCUUGCGCGAUUGAAUGAGCCGAUGUCGGAUUAGCUAGUUGGCGGGGUAAAGGCCCACCAAGGCGACGAUCCGUAGCUGGUCUGAGAGGAUGAGCAGCCAAACUGGAACGGAGACACGGUCCAGACUCCUACGGGAGGCAGCAGUGGGGAAUAUUGGACAAUGGGCGCAAGCCUGAUCCAGCCAUACCGCGGGGGUGAAGAAGGCCUUCGGGUUGUAAAGCCCUUUUGUUGGGAAAGAAAAGCAGCAGGUUAAUACCCCGCUGUGCUGACGGUACCCAAAGAAGAAGAACCGGCUAACUUCGUG
rnacentral:rRNA from 1 species